rnacentral:rRNA from 1 species
GGGUCGUCGUCCCCUCUCCGGGGGGGACGGGCCCCAAAGGCAGCGGCGGCACCGCGUCCGAUCCUCGAGCGUAUGGGGCUUUGUCACCCGCUCUGUAGGCCCGGCCGGCGCUUGCCGAACGCAAAUCAAUCUUUUUCCAGGUUGACCUCGGAUCAGGUAGGGAUACCC